GGGAAAGGACGCGGAGGCCAGUAACCCAGGAAACCAGUAACCCAGGAAACUGAGGGCGUGUCUGGGAGCGUAGGCGGUCAGGUCUCCUGGGAGCGCCCUCCAGCGGCGGUGUUUGAAAGGAUUCACGGUGCUCGGGUUCCUUGGAAAAAUGAAUAAUUCCAGGUCCAGAGCAGGAAGUCUACAAGAUGAAUCUGGAGCCACCAUUUACACUAGAAAGCAUGGUGCUACCAAGGACCAUUAGCCCUAUAUUAAAGAGACUCGCUGAAGCUUUCCUGAAUAAGAGCCCCCUGGCCAAAGAGAGAAUAGUUUGAGAACUGAUAAGGAUAAUAACUACAAUGAACUGAAAUACAAAUAUGUUUAAAGUUCAUAGUGAAAAACAUAUUUGAUUGAUUAUAUUCAGUGAAUACUAUGGAACCAACUCAUUUUGAAAACCGGUAAUUAAAGGAAAAGAACCAA